rnacentral:rRNA from 1 species
UACGAAGGGGGCUAGCGUUGUUCGGAAUUACUGGGCGUAAAGCGCGCGCAGGCGGCUAUCCAAGUCAGUGGUGAAAGCCCCGGGCUCAACCCUGGGAAUGGCAAUGGAUACUGGCAAGCUAGAGUGCGGUAGAGGGUAGUGGAAUUCCCGGUGUAGCGGUGAAAUGCGUAGAGAUCGGGAGGAACACCAGUGGCGAAGGCGGCUCACUGGCCCGGUACUGACGCUGAGGUGCGAAAGCGUGGGGAGCAAACAGG